rnacentral:misc_RNA from 1 species
AAAAAAAAGAAGAGCGAAACAGACACUAAUUGUUUAAAAGAAAUAUGAUCAAAAUCAAAAUGAAUGCACUCAUAAACAAGUAGAUAACAAUGAAGCCAAUGUGUACAGCUUCCAAGCAUGCAAAUUCAAAAAGACAAUGCAGAAAUUAAAGACAACGGAGCAACAUUGAAAGUUAGAAACUUGGGUUUAAAGAGGAAUGGAAACAGAUAAAUUUAGGGCAGCAAUGGAAUGAGAAAGGGAUGGUGAGAUUGGAUGAAAUCGUAUUAUAAAAUGUUAGGGCAGCAAAUUGAAGCAGAUUCUAGGAUGGUUAACAAAACAAUUUAUUAUUAGCAUUAAAGCG